rnacentral:lncRNA from 1 species
GUUGUACACAUGUAUGGAAUAUUUUAGGAUGCAUUGACCUAUGAUGAUGUGUAUGUGAACUUCACUCAAGAAGAAUGGGCUUUGCUGAAUCCUUCACAGAAGAGUCUCUACAAAGAUGUGAUGUUGGAGACCUACAGGAACCUCAUUGCUGUAGGCUACAAUUGGGAAGACAGUAAUAUUGAAGAACAUUGUGAAAGCUCCAGAAGACAUGGAAGGCAUGAAAGA